CAGAUGUUGAGCGUGAAGGAUAACGUUGCGUCAGCAACGGCCCGAAGGGCGAGGCGAAGCCGAGUCAUCCUGCACGACCCACCA
rnacentral:sRNA from 2 species